rnacentral:rRNA from 1 species
UACGGAGGGUGCGAGCGUUGUCCGGAAUUACUGGGCGUAAAGAGCUCGUAGGUGGUUUGUCGCGUUGUUCGUGAAAACUCACAGCUUAACUGUGGGCGUGCGGGCGAUACGGGCAGACUAGAGUACUGCAGGGGAGACUGGAAUUCCUGGUGUAGCGGUGGAAUGCGCAGAUAUCAGGAGGAACACCGGUGGCGAAGGCGGGUCUCUGGGCAGUAACUGACGCUGAGGAGCGAAAGCGUGGGGAGCGAACAGG